UUGACGGCGGCGCCUUCGCAUGUCCGCGCGCGCGGGGACGCGCUGCCGACGGACGGGCAACGUAAUCGCGCGUUUCCGGAUUUGUUUUUAGAUUAAAACCACAUAUUGGUCAUCGUUAUCUCACCGGACGAGACGGCGGCGACCGGUCCGGUUUCACUCUCGCGUUAUUAUUAUUAUGUUUAUUGAUCGUAAACUUGAGCGGAGAACGCGUUUAUUUUUAUUUCUCUCUUUUUUUUUUUCUCUCUCUCUUUUUCAUUUCGACUUGUACGUACGCCGUUACGUUAACGCGAAACGGCAAACGCUCGGCGGUUCGUGCGGACGGCAACGAAGUUCCGCGACUUGCGCCCGCGUGAUCGCGACGUCCACGCCACAUGUGCACGUGUUUGCCGCCCGUUCGUUUGCGUGCUCCGAUCGGUUCGCUUUGUCCGAGAACGUUUUUCCCCGGUAAGAUUUCGCGCGAUUUCAAAGCGUACUCGCGCGUUACAGAAACUUUCGACAGUACGUUUGACUGUCUGCGAUGUUGUUUCGCCGACGUGCCUGUUGUUGUACGUUUGUCGUUUCGUUAGCGCGUCGGUUUUAAUUUUUUAAUAGAAGUACUAAACAGCAAAGAUUUUACCGCGCACGAGUCGCGGGGAAAAAAAUUAAUUGAUUCCGUUUACUUUUAACUCAAUUGAUGUGUAAGUUUACGAGGUCCUUGUCCCCUACGUUGUCGUACAUAAGAAAAACAAUCGAUUAGCAGUAGUCGGUUUCUAUUUUCAGCAAAAUGUUGAUGACGUAACUACGUGGGAGCUGAUUCGUAUGUGCUUUCCACUUCAGAAUGCAAACGACCGCUUUACCACAGGAAGUCGAAAAACUGGUCUGGAUCGUCUGCAUUGUAUCCCGUAUGUCACCACGGUUCAGUGAAAGUGGUUUUCCGUCAAAUUCCAGUCUGGUUUUUUUUACGUACGGUAAUUUCACCCGAACGAUCAUACGACGUCAAGGAUAUAUAUCUUUCCAAUAUUUUUGCAAUAAAUACAUGGAAAGAUACAUUCGUUGACAUUUAAGAAAAAUUAAUUUUUCCCAUUUGUGGAUUCGAAAGUACAAUUGACCGAAUACUCGCAAAUAUUUAAUCCGACGUUACCCAACAUACGAGAAAAUAAUUGCUUACAUUAUUAUAUUUAUAAUUAAUGCAAAACAUAAAGAUACCUCUCAAAUUCUAAAAACGUUUAACCGAUUUUUAUUAUUUUCUAUUCAAAAUGCAAUUAUUUUUAUAGACAAGUAAUAAGUAGUUCGAUUUUUUGUCGAACCAUCAUGGUAAAUACUCGUCUUGAACAUGUUUUCAGAUGUAAUUACAGCAAAUAGUUAUGGUAAAAGUUUGUAUUAACAUGUAAUUAACAACUUUUAACGACUUAUAACUUGCCUGUUAAUAAUUAUACUGAUGUAUUAUAAACGUAA